GUAGGUGGCAAGCGUUGUCCGGAAUUAUUGGGCGUAAAGCGCGCGCAGGCGGUUCUUUAAGUCUGAUGUGAAAGCCCACGGCUCAACCGUGGAGGGUCAUUGGAAACUGGAGAACUUGAGUACAGAAGAGGAAAGCGGAAUUCCACGUGUAGCGGUGAAAUGCGUAGAGAUGUGGAGGAACACCAGUGGCGAAGGCGGCUUUCUGGUCUGUAACUGACGCUGAGGCGCGAAAGCGUGGGGAGCAAACAGGAUUAGAUACCCUGGUAGUCCACGCCGUAAACGAUGAGUGCUAAGUGUUAGGGGGGUUUUCCGCCCCCCUUAGUGCUGCAGCUAACGCAUUAAGCACUCCGCCUGGGAGUACGGCCGCAAGGCUG
rnacentral:rRNA from 1 species